rfam:Sporocytophaga myxococcoides DNA, contig: Contig48_16, strain: PG-01.
GUUGUGAUUUGCUUUCAAACAACGAUCUUUGAAUUAUUGGAAACAAC